CCUACGGGUGGCAGCAGUGAGGAAUAUUGGUCAAUGGGCGGAAGCCUGAACCAGCCAAGUAGCGUGCAGGAUGACGGCCCUACGGGUUGUACACUGCUUUUAUACGGGAAUAACGCGCCUUACGUGUAGGGCUUUGCAUGUACCGUAUGAAUAAGGACCGGCUAAUUCCGUGCCAGCAGCCGAGGUACUCCGGAAGGUCCGGGCGUUAUCCGGAUGUAUUGGGUUGAAAGGGAGCGUAGGCCGCAUGUCAAGCGUGCUGUGAAAUGUCCGGGCUCAACCCGGGCCUUGCAGCGCGAACUGGCGUGCUUGAGUCCGCGGAAGGCAGGCGGAAUUCGUCGUGUAGCGGUGAAAUGCUUAGAUAUGACGAAGAACCCCGAUUGCGAAGGCAGCUUGCUGCAGCGGAACUGACGCUGAUGCUCGAAAGCGCGGGUAUCGAACAGGAUUAGAUACCCGGGUAGUC
rnacentral:rRNA from 1 species